UGCGCGCCUGGCGCGGGCGCGCGCGGGGAAUGUCGGCCACGUGCGCCGUGUCCCGGAAAGCUCCGCCGCCGCUGUCCCGGGGCGAGGGGGAUCCGUCGGCCAAAGUGAUGCGCAGGGGGCUGCGGAGAGGCCGCGAGGAGGAGCAGGAGCAGCUGCCGUGGCCGGGGGAGAGCGCGUGCGGCCGGGGCGCGGAGCCCGAGGGGGAGCAGGCGGCCCCGCUCAGGGACGAGCGGCGGAGGCGGCAGCCGCUGGAGCCGAGGGCGCUGGCGGCGGCGGCCAGGGAGGAGGAGGAGGAACGUCUGGAGCGGGAGCAUUUCCGGAGGAUCAUCAACGCCUUCCGAUAUUACGGAACGAAUAUGCAUGAACGAGUGAACAGAACAGAGAGGCAGUUUAAGUCUCUCCCAGCUAACCAACAGAGUCUUCUUCCUCAAUUUCUUCCGCACCUUGACAAGAUUCGGAAGUGCAUUGAUCAUAAUCAAGAGAUACUACAGACCAUUGUGAAUGACUGCGUUCAUAUGUUUGAAAAUAAAGAAUAUGGAGAAGACGGAAACGGGAAGAUUACACCAGCUUCAACAUUUGACAUGGAUAAAUUAAAGUCCACAUUGAAACAAUUUGUGAGAGACUGGAGUGAAGAGGGAAAGUCUGAGAGAGAUUCCUGCUACCAGCCAAUCAUUAGUGAAAUUGUAAAGAACUUUCCAAAAGAAAGAUGGGAUUUCUCCAAAGUUAAUAUCCUGGUACCUGGUGCUGGGCUAGGUAGAUUGGCGUGGGAAAUAGCUAUGCUCGGUUAUGCUUGCCAAGGAAAUGAAUGGAGCCUCUUUAUGCUCUUUUCUUCUAACUUUGUACUCAACAGAUGCUCUGAAAUUAACUCAUGUAAGCUUUAUCCCUGGAUUCAUCAAUUUAGCAAUAACAGAAGAUCUGCUGAUCAGAUACGACCAAUUUAUUUCCCAGAUGUCGAUCCUCACAGCCUUCCUUCUGGUUCAAACUUCUCUAUGACCGCAGGGGAUUUUCAAGAAAUUUAUUCUGAGUGCAAUACGUGGGACUGUGUAGCAACUUGCUUUUUCAUAGAUACAGCACAUAAUGUUAUUGAUUACAUUGAUACUAUAUGGAAAAUACUAAAGCCUGGAGGAAUAUGGAUAAAUGUCCUCUCCUUUACCAUUUUGAAAACUUGGGAAAUGAACUUUCUAUAGAAUUAAGCUAUGAGGAUAUAAAAAAUGUUAUCCUACAAUAUGGAUUCCAUAUAGAGGUGGAGAAAGAAUCUGUACUGUCAACUUACACUGUGAAUGAACUCUCCAUGAUGAAAUACUACUAUGAAUGCGUGUUGUUUGUGGUGAGAAAACCAGAAUAGUAGUGGUCUGAAUAGGUUAAUGAGAAAAAAAAUGUUGGUUUGAAAGCUAGAAAUGAGGGUAAAAUGGUCUGGGUGAUGUAUGAACACAACCUCAAAUAGUGGUGCCUUCUUAUUCCUAAGAGGAUAUAGAUAGUGUCUAUUUUCUUAAUAUCUCUAUUGCUAUUCGGACAUACACUAUGCCGUGCAUAUUUGUAAUAUACUUGUGAAGGUGGAGGAUGUAAUGUUCACAUACACUGUCACUGUGUUUUGGAGUGCAUUAAAAAUAAAAGCAAAAAUGUUUUCCUGAGAACAAAAUUAAAUGUUUGCCAUAAGUAGGCUAAUUCUCUGCAUAUGUUGCCUAAUAUUUCAUAGAUUUAUAGUGAUUUUUUUCUAUUAGCUGAUAUUAGGAAUGCAUGGAGGUGCUUACUGUAUUAUCUGUGUCAUGUUUAGAGAAGUAUUUUUAAAUGUAUACUUAAAUUAUGAAGUCUGAAGUGGUUGGAAAGUGGUAAAAUUAUUCUUGACAGAUAAAAUAGCCAUCAAAACUGGUAGAGCAUUUUCUGUGGAACUGAAAUGAAGUAGAUUAUUGUAUAAAUGCUAAUCUUUGACUGUACCACUGUUAACAGUUUAAUUAAAACACAGAGCCUGUGGGCAAUUUGAAAUACUAUGUGAAAGCAGAAUACUGAGUGAAGAAAAAGCAGAAUGUCACAGAGAAGCAGUAUGAUAACCUCAGUUGAGGAAUACUACCAAUUUUGAUUGAGCUUUUUGUUGAAACUGAAAUGUGUUAGACGCUUUGCCAUCUUGUAAUACGUUGAUUUUGAGUCAUCUUCUGACUGCUCAAGCUAAAACUUCCAAAGUUGAUAAACAUAGCUGAGUUAUCCAUGCCAUGUGUAGGUAGUACAACCUAAAAACAUCUGUCGGGGCAGUGAAGUUAUAAGAAAUAAAAUAAGUUUUUUUAAUUACAAAACAAAAUUAUAGGUGCAUUGUGAAGUUGUAAGGUAUCCAGUUCCAAACUGGACUGGGUACCAGGGGUCUUUUGUGGCCGGAAUAAGGGAAAUAUAAAGUUCCUAAAAAUUAAAAUGUUUCUGGGCCAUUUGGCAAAUUUUGAACAGAAGGGUUUCUUUUUUUCUCUUUGGGCUAAGAACAAGGGAAGAUCCAUCAUUUUUGACAGAGGAAACCUUGCAGCCAAUGGGAAAGAAGGGAAAGCCCCUUUUCGGAGAAAAGGAAGCCUUCUUAGGCAAAAAUUAAUAUAUUAAACUUAUCUGAAAAAGGAUGGGAUUUCGUAAAACUAUAAAAUGCAUGAAAUUUAAACCCAAGAGGUCUUUUCUCCCCGGGACCUUGGUGUGAGAUGAGACUGGCUCAUGCUGAAUAAACCUUUCCUUGAUGAUACAGUUCCUUUGUUUCACAGGUAAUUGAAUCUUUCUAAAUUAAAUAACGAGAGAUUUCUCACAAAGUUACAUGUAAAUAUGUCCUAUAACCUAAUCGCCUCUGCAUGAGUCAGGAUAUGCAGGAUAACUUCAAACACUUUAUCCUUCUGAAUUCUUGGUUUGUUCCUUAUACUAAUGUGUUUUUUUCCUAGCAGAUGUGGCUUAGGUGAAUUUUUAAUGUACAAGUCAUGAUACUAUACAAGAGGCUGAAUCUCCUGUCACUUGGAAGUUAUGUACAUGAGAACAACAUUAAUUAAUAAUCACUAUUCUGAGUGGAGGUGGUAUGUUAAGCAUUUUGUUUUCUUAAUAUAUUAGUUACCUUAAGUAUAAUUUCCACGCAUUUUCAAAAUGGUCUUUAAAAUAUAAAAGCAUUAUGAGGACUCAAGUUUUUUUCAUAUUUGGCCUUAAUGACACUGGUCAAUAUCUUGUUUAUUUCCCAUUAUUUUUAGUCCUGUCUUUCAUGGUGGUGUCCUAAUCACCUCCCUUUAACAGAUUUGUUACAGCUUUUGAAGAUUUUUCCAAUUAAGGCCAGAAAUUUGUGCCUUUAUUCCUAAAUUGAAAAUCUGCAAGGAGGAAAAACACCAACUUUUUUUUUUUAGUUUGAACACCACAUAAGAAAGCAUGCACCUGUAUAUGUUUCAGUACUUUGCCCCUUUCCAUUCAGAAUCCUUAUUGAAAUAGAGGUUUCUGGUCAACAGCAGUUUUUAAGUAUACCCUGGCUUAAACUAGACUUAUUUGUACUCUUCUUUCUAAAAGUGCACCACCAUGAUUCAGUUCCGUAAAUGAGGUGUCAAAGGUCUACCCUGCUCCAAGAGAGGUGUGUUUCAAGAAGAAACAAUGCUAUUGCAACAUAAAAUUAAAAACCCUUGCACACCUAAAAAUAAAAAAGCCACUUGCUUUAAUUUCUGUAUUGUACCAUUUACUUUAAUUUUUGAGGGAAUUUAUGAUUCUUUGCUUUAAAUCUGCUUUUUUUUCCUACCAGAAUAUGAUUAGCAUUUUACUUAAUUUUCAAGCUCCUUGUAGUCAGACAUAGCUUAAGUGAAUGUCAAUUGUGCUAUUGCUGAGUAGUAUAUCUAUCUGUAAUGUUACCCAAUUUCUGCCUCCUUUCCCGUCUGUAACUUGGAAUGUGGUGUUCCUGCUUUUCACAAAUAGGCAAUGGGACUCCUUCUUUCUGGUUGAGUGUCAUUAUCCUUUGUUCUGGUAGUUUUGUUCCUUGCCACCCCAUGUUGUCACAGGUGCCAUUUUUAUGUGUUUUCUGAAAAUGUUUUUAUUUGCUUACAUCAUGUAUGAUAUGGUGGUGUGCUUUUAUUUCUGAUCUAGAAAAUGCUGUUUUCCCCGCAUAAUAUUCUUUUAAAUCACAACAGUCACAUUAAGAGUUGGAAGUAAAAUAAUCUUGUGAAUGAGCCGUGUUAGUUGUGUUUUACCUACCUAUUUAUGAGUUCCUAGAAUUCACCACUUGUACUGUUAUGGGGAUCUUUGUGUAUUAUAGAAUGCGAUUACUGUUGUAUUUGGUUGUAUACGUGGGGGAGAAUGCUCAAGGUGUUCACCAGAUGAGACUGUUUACUUUAGGUCGUUAUUAAACUGUACAUGGUAACAGAUGUAAAAUAAAAUGCUGCAUAACCUUAAGUGUAAAGCUUCUUUAUAUGGAGUUUGACAAA